GCGUGGGUGGCUCAGUCGGUUGGGCGUCUGACUUCGGCUCAGGUCAUGAUCUCGCGGUCCGUGGGUUCGAGCCCCGCGUCGGGCU
rnacentral:tRNA from 1 species